GCAGACAAACCUAAUUGGACUGGAUUGAAUCUCCAAAGUUGUCUGGGAUCCUUUCAUGCUGUGAGUUGGAGUUAAACAAACAGCAAAAUGAGGCUAAAUUGAAUCAGAAAACCAUAAUUGAGGAACCUCCUCUGCUUCACAUUCAGACACACAAACGUCUUUUUGUGUUACGCUGCUUUGUGUGCUUUAGAAGCGGCUUGUCAGAACAGAACCUCCAACCCGUUCAUGCCAGCAGAAAGGUGUGUGUGUGUGUGUGUGGGAUGUUUGAACAUUCAUUUUUUAAAUGAUUCCGAUGCUUCAUUUUCAUAAAGGAACAGAAACCUGAGCAGAGAUUUUUUCAGGGGGGUGAGUUGGUUUACUUUCAUUGGCAUAGUGGUAUCGUUGACGUAGUGCAGAUGGUUUCCCUUCAGAGCAGCGUCAGAGGGAUGGGGGAUGACGCCGGCGUCUGCUGAUGCAGCCGCUCUCGCUGACUGGGCCUCAUUGAGAUUCCCUGCUGGAGUCUAAAUUUGAAACCCGCUUGGUUCUUUGACUCAGGCCGCUUGGCGCAGCUACAGCUUCAUUAGGUUCCUGUUCAGCCGGUUCCUCUGGGAAAUUUUCCCCGUACUGAGCAGAAGGACUCUAUUUAGUUCAGCUGAAGGACACCCGAGAGCAGAAGCAGGACGGCGACGCGAGACACCGCCAUGCUGUACUUACUGGGAAUCACUGGUGGACUCCUGAUGAUCAUCAUUUUUGUUUCCAAGGGACUUAAAGAGGAAAAGAAGUCCCAAAAGUCUGUGCUGGCUGAUGCCUCCGGAAACAACAUGAUGAAGGACAUGAGUGAAGAUGACCUCCAUCUCCUGACGAGGAUCAUUUCAGUGGGUCUGGUGGACGCAGAUCCGGACUACCUCCAGCACCUCAAAGGCUUCAGAGACCUGACAGCCAGCUGACUGCAGCCCGAGGAGACGAGGAUCCUCAAGUUUUAGUGACAGAUGGACAAAAACAGGGAGGGAAGAUAAGGAACACAUGGAGACCCCUUUGUGCUCAAAGCCCGCUCCUCUGCUGCAAUCCUGGUUGCACUUUUUUCUGAAAAUCUGGUUUUUGUUUGGAUCAGAAGUUUGUAAGAAUUAUGAAAAGACACAGCAGAGCUGUUGUUUUGGAAGCUGCUUUAUUGGGAUUCAUUGAAAGUUUCUGAUAUUUUACAAUAAUAAAUAGGCCUUUUUUGAGCUUCAUAAAGAAACCGUCGCAGACAGAAGUGGUUUGAAAUGUUGCUCAUGGGCAGAGGAGGCCGUUUUUCCGGCUCAGUCAGUUUGCUUUUUCCUUUCCUAGAAUGAAGAACAAACAAAGAGGGGUUAACAGAUAGAGACUGCUGUCUGCUCUUCUGUGAUGACUGUUUCUUACUCCAGACGAGGCUGUUGAGUUUGUCCCCGAGCGUGUAGAGCAGCGUCACCACAGACAUGUUAAAGAAGAAGAAGGCCGCCAAGCCGGCGGGGCUGAAGUGCCCGAGAAGAGGGUACACCCAGACCCCCACGGAGACGUACACCCAGAGGAUCCUGCAGAACACAGACAAAAAAAGUGCCGCUCUUGAUUUUAGUGCAACAUCCUCUGAUUUUUACUGGAGAUCUAUUCUGACUGUGGUCACUGGUGACACCAACAAAUGAAAAGCAUCACAGACUUUUGAGGAUUUUUAUGUGAAACUUUUAAACAGUAAAAAGAUCUUUAUUGAAUUAAUCAAAAAGUCCUUUAAAAGUUGAAAACUAAAUCAUUUUUCAGAGGAUUCCUUUGCUUUGAGCCCAGAAUGUAGAUGUUACUCAUCAAAUGUUUCUGUGAGUUUUCAGCUGUAAAAUCAUUAAAGUGGUUUUAAAUCCAAA